AGGGGCAGCGAGGGAGUGGCAACACUUCUGUCGGCGACCGGCGCACGGGUGAGUAACGCGUAUGCAACCUGCCCUUCACAGGGGGAUAACCGGGAGAAAUUCCGACUAAUCCACGAUGGGACGAGUUGCUGCAUGGCAGCUCGUUGAAAGUUACGGCGGCGACGGAUUGGCUCGCGUCCGAUUAGCUGGUUGGCGGGGUAACGGCCCACCAAGGCAACGAUCAGUAGGGGUUCUGAGAGGAAGGUCCCCACAUUGGAACUGAGACACGGUCCAUACUCC
rnacentral:rRNA from 1 species